UGUCCACCCGCAUUUUUUUCUUUUAAUUUAAAUCACCCGCGCAGAUGGAAAACUUCUCCAUGCGCGAAAGCCACAAUAAAAUGUAAGCUACGUGACUGCUGGUUGACAUAGCGGGGACUUCUGCAAUCUCAGCAGCGCAAGUUUUUAAAAAGGCGAUCAACAGCCAAAUCCACGUCUUUGAGCAGUUAAUUCGACUUCCGCGUUUAACUGACGGGCCCGUGCCUUGUAGAGUCCUUUGCUUUAAUUUGCUCCGCACUUAAAGGAAGUUUGGACGCGGUUUCAACCGGCAGGCCACGUAUUAGUUUUAAGUGUAAACCAGGUCUUUGAGCAGUUAAUUCGACUUCCGCGUUUAACUGACGGACCCGUGCCUUGUAAAAGUCCCUUGUCUUAAUUUGCGCUGCACUUAAGACGAGUUCAGACUCGGUUCAACCGGCAGGCCACGUAUUAGUUAUUA